AGGUUACUGCUAUCGGUGUUCGCCUAAGCCAUGCGAGUCAUAUGUUCGUAAGAACAUGGCGUACUGCUCAGUAACACGUGGAUAACCUGCCCUUGGGUCCGGCAUAACCCCGGGAAACUGGGGAUAAUUCCGGACAACGCACAUAUGCUGGAAUGCUUUAUGCGUAAAAUGGAUUCGUCUGCCCAAGGAUGGGUCUGCGGCCUAUCAGGUAGUAGUGGGUGUAAUGUACCUACUAGCCUACGACGGGUACGGGUUGUGAGAGCAAGAGCCCGGAGAUGGAUUCUGAGACAUGAAUCCAGGCCCUACGGGGCGCAGCAGGCGCGAAAACUUUACAAUGCGGGAAACCGUGAUAAGGGGACACCGAGUGCCAGCAUCCUAUGCUGGCUGUCCGGGUGUGUAAAAUACACCUGUUAGCAAGGGCCGGGCAAGACCGGUGCCAGCCGCCGCGGUAACACCGGCGGCCCGAGUGGUGAUCGUGAUUAUUGGGUCUAAAGGGUCCGUAGCCGGUUUGGUCAGUCCUCCGGGAAAUCUGACAGCUUAACUGUUAGGCUUUCGGAGGAUACUGCCAGACUUGGAACCGGGAGAGGUAAGAGGUACUACAGGGGUAGGAGUGAAAUCUUGUAAUCCCUGUGGGGACCACCUGUGGCGAAGGCGUCUUACCAGAACGGGUUCGACGGUGAGGGACGAAAGCUGGGGGCACGAACCGGAUUAGAUACCCGGGUAGUCCCAGCCGUAAACGAUGCUCGCUAGGUGUCAGGCAUGGCGCGACCGUGUCUGGUGCCGCAGGGAAAGCCGUGAAGCGAGCCACCUGGGAAGUACGGCCGCAAGGCUGAACUUAA
rnacentral:rRNA from 1 species